rfam:Treponema primitia ZAS-2, complete genome.
GGUCCAAUAGCUCAGGGGAUAGAGCGGCCGCCUCCUAAGCGGCAGGUCGACGGUUCGAAUCCGCCUUGGAUCA